rnacentral:rRNA from 1 species
AUUGAACGCUGGCGGCAGGCCUAACACAUGCAAGUCGAGCGGAUGAAGGGAGCUUGCUCCUGGAUUCAGCGGCGGACGGGUGAGUAAUGCCUAGGAAUCUGCCUGGUAGUGGGGGAUAACGUCCGGAGACGGGCGCUAAUACCGCAUACGUCCUGAGGGAGAAAGUGGGGGAUCUUCGGACCUCACGCUAUCAGAUGAGCCUAGGUCGGAUUAGCUAGUUGGUGGGGUAAAGGCCUACCAAGGCGACGAUCCGUAACUGGUCUGAGAGGAUGAUCAGUCACACUGGAACUGAGACACGGUCCAGACUCCUACGGGAGGCAGCAGUGGGGAAUAUUGGACAAUGGGCGAAAGCCUGAUCCAGCCAUGCCGCGUGUGUGAAGAAGGUCUUCGGAUUGUAAAGCACUUUAGGUUGGGAGGAAGGGCAGUAAGUUAAUACCUUGCUGUUUUGACGUUACCAACAGAAUAAGCACCGGCUAACUUCGU